GACGAACGCUGGCGGCGUGCUUAACACAUGCAAGUCGAACGAAGUGGCGCACGGGUGAGUAACGCGUAAUCCACCUGCCCUUCAGAGGGGGACAACAGUUGGCAACGACUGCUAAUACCGCAUACUGAAGGAGGGGAUUGCGUCUGAUUUGCUAGUUGGGGGGGUAACGGCCCACCAAGGAGAUGAUCAGUAGCCGGGUGUAGAGGAUGAACGGCCACAAUGGGACUGAGACACGGCCCAGGCUCCUACGGGAGGCAGCAGUGGGGAAACUUCCGCAAUGGACGAAAGUCUGACGGAGCAACGCCGCGUGAGUGAUGACGGCCUUCGGGUUGUAAAGCUCUGUUAAUCGGGACGCGGUACCGGAAGAGAAAGCCACGGCUAACUACGUGCCAGCAGCCGCGGUAAUUC
rnacentral:rRNA from 1 species